CGCUGGCGGCGUGCCUAAUACAUGCAAGUCGAACGGUCUUUCUAUGGAAGCUUGCUUCCACUGAGAAGAUAGUGGCGAACGGGUGAGUAACACGUGGGUAACCUGCCCAUAAGAGGGGGAUAACAUCCGGAAACGGGUGCUAAUACCGCAUAGUUUUCUUGAUCGCAUGAUUGAGAAAGGAAAGACGGCCUUUGUGCUGUCGCUUAUGGAUGGACCCGCGGCGUAUUAGUUAGUUGGUGAGGUAACGGCUCACCAAGACGAUGAUACGUAGCCGACCUGAGAGGGUGAUCGGCCACAUUGGGACUGAGACACGGCCCAAACUCCUACGGGAGGCAGCAGUAGGGAAUCUUCCGCAAUGGACGAAAGUCUGACGGAGCAACGCCGCGUGAGUGAAAGAAGGUUUUCGGAUCGUAAAACUCUGUUGUCAGAGAAGAACAAGUUGGAGAGUAACUGCUCCAGCCUUGACGGUAUCUGACCAGAAAGCCACGGCUAACUACGUGCCAGCCGCCGC
rnacentral:rRNA from 1 species